ensembl:lncRNA
CAAAAUAGUAAUCAACAAUCUCAACACGUAUUUUUUGUCUUGAGCUUCAGAUGCUUAAAAAUGUCACAUGAAACUGGAUGACGCUGUUCUGCUUUGAAAGAUGUAGGAUAGUAUGCAAUAUAGGUCCGUGUACGGAUCUGGUAAUUGGAUUUUCCGUUCUGAAACGGGUAUUGAAAAACAAAAAACGAGUGGUUAUUUGAUUUUCGUUUUAAAAUACAAAAAUUAAAAUUGAAAUACAAUGCGUUUUUCCUUUUCAUGAUCAAAAAGGGAUGUACCAAAUUUUAAAAAUUCUUUGAUUUUCAUUUUAUAUUUAGAAUAACAAAAAAAUAAAAUCAGUAAGAGACAGAAACGAAAAAAAGGUCAGUUUUUUUCAUUUUCUGAGACCGGAAGCGGUCAUCAGCAAGUGUGGGCCAACAACAUUCUCAGAGGGCGGAACCAGAGAACAGUGAUUGGUCAGACCAUAGAUAAUAUAGAAGACAACGCGCUAGCAUCUAGUCUAUGUAUAUCUAUGGUCGGCACGUCUGGUAGCAUGUCUGGCUGCUGUUGACCUUGUUUUUGGAGUAAAACACGGUGGAAGCUGAAUUAGUGAGGAUGACUCCUGCUCCUGUCAUCUCUAAGCUCCUCACACAUCUUUACCUGCACAUGAGGAAAAUCACUCCUGUAGAAUGCAGAUGUUCAGAGGGAGAUGAUGCCACAUCUGGUCCAGCUGAUGGAAGGUCUUGAAGUUCUCUGACUGGCCUUGACUGAAGAUGGUCGUCUCACUGGAUUUAAGGUUCAGAUGCUCAGUAACAAACUCCACCAAUGUGCCAACAGGGAAGCUUUAGGUUUAUUAAUUGUUGCUAUGAAGGUUUCGCUGUUUUUCUUUGUGAAUGCAAUGUGCUCCAACUGAAACUUGAAUUAGAACUUAGAAGUAAAUCCUUCCAUCUGAAAGGAUUUAGUUGCAUUAAUAACCUCAUAACAUUCUAAUUUUUAUUCCAGUCUUGGUUGGAAAUAGAAUCUCUGUAUUGAUUCAGGUAAAAACUGAACUUCACAGCAUGUUGGAGCAAAACAACCAGAUGAAAACUGUGAUGGUGUUGGAUUGUCAGACUGUAAUGUUGCAGCUCAAAGCAGCUUUUCUAUCUCAGUUCAUUCUGACAUUCAGCUAUGAAUCAACACAGCAGAUGGUGAUCCAUGCUGUGGAAGUCUCACAUCUCCUGAUUUAAUGGAGCUGCUUUGCACUUUUUACACUGUUUAUUCACCAACACUUUAUUUAAUAAAAGUCCCAUCUAGUUUUUAUGAGGAAUGUGAUGUUUUAAUUUCUCUGUGAAUAACUGCAGUCUAAUGCAACACCUGGAGUUGUAACAUCUGUCCUGAUAUUGAUCAUGAAGUAUUGAUCAGAAUACUUAUGGUUAGCAGUCAUCCCUGAAGUUUUACAUUGAAAUCUUUACUUGUGUUGUGAACUUUGGUAAGAAGCAGAAACUUUUGCGUUGCCAUGGAUACAUGAGUGUUAAAUUCUGUCCAUGUUUCCAUUUUGGGAAAUGCAGUCCAGUUCCAGAAUGUGGAGGAAUUUAGUCUCACGAUCACAGACAACAAAUAUUAUCUGAAAGUUGGGUUAUUGUUGUUUAUCAGCACAAUACAAAAAGAUUAAUGUUAGAAAUAUCCCAGUUAAGACUCUAGAAUAUCAUGAUUUAUGUAAAUUUACCUCAAUAAUAUGAAUGUUCAGGUUAAGAUUGUACAGUGAUAUUUAUUAUGUAAGUUUAGCUGAUUAAAGUUUAUGACUCUGCACUAAAAUAUUAUUUAAAUUGACAUCAUUAUUAUAAUAUUUAGGGUCAGACCCUACAGUAUUGAGAUUAAGAAAUCAAAUAUUCUAUAAAAUGUAAAUACACUGAACUCAUUUGGAUAUAUUUAAGUGAGACUCUACAACAUUAUUUGACACAAAUCUGUCUAAUUCAAAAUUUUAAUAAUUUUCACGCCAAACAUUUACUGGACUGAUUUAAAUAUUAAAAUCACUCCUUUCUAAUCCUCUGCUGUACGUUCAAACCUGAGGCCUUAAAUAGAAACACACAAGUAUCUGAUUGAAGGAACUUCUGCAGAGUCCUGGUUCCAGAACACGAUGAUAGAAUUAUAGACAAACUUUAACAAAAGCUGCCUGAGAGUUUACAGGUUUUGAUGUUAGAUUUCUUCAGUAAUUUAAUGAGAGUUAUCAGCAAAAAUCAAGUGUUCAUUUGAUGAACUUCAUUUCCUGAAACAUCCAGAAUUGGAGCUCAUAUCUUUGGCAGCUGUAAAGUUUCUGCUCCUUCAAAGUUCACAACACAAUGAAUGAAUUCAUAAAACACUCUCAAUGCUGGAGAGCGUUUGUGAUGCUGAAGCAGUGAGCAGUUUUUCUGUUUCUUCUCUGGAGAUGCACAAUGAGGGACGUCUGCAGCGACUGAGAAAGAGUCUCACCACAUCCUGUCAUGAGGAAAAAGACUUUAUUGAAGACUACAAUGAGAAAAACUACCAGACAGCAGACGGCUGCAUUCAAGUCUGUAGCUGCUGAAUUCAUGGAUGAAUCAUCUGGCACUAGAGAAGAAGACCAUCAAACAUCCACGUCAGCUGAUGGAGGUCCAAGAGUCUCACCGAACAACCAACAGAGUGAAGACCUCGAAUCUGAUUGGACGGCCUCCUAUUCAGCCACAUGUGUGAACAAAAGCCUCUAAGCUGAUUUGUUUCCUAAAUUAAAUCCAGUUUUGAGUCCUAAUCUAUGCCUGUGUGUUUGCUUCUUUACACUGCUGUUAACAGUUUAGGCUGUUAGAUUGUUCCAGAUAAGACAAGUACAAGAUUCUUCAGAGCCGUUCUACCACGAGCCUGACAGGAAGAACUCCAACAGUUACUGAAUGUUCCUGUGGUCCCCUCAAGGCUACAGGAGGAGUCCUACAAGGACGAGGCGGUCCACCUGUUGGCAGCCAGUUGCUGCGGUUGAAAGCCAACACUGACUACGUGGACUUCUACUGGACCACACGGAGGCCUUCAAACUGGACCAAAAAGUUCACCGACUCCCCGACUCGUGGGUCUGAGGACAGUGGUAUAUUCUUCCGAACCAACUUCUCAGGUCUACAUUUCAGGUGGAAUAUUCCUCCAUACUAACUUUUUUUGGUCUACAUUGAAGGAUUUUUUUCUAAACCACCCUUUCGGGUCUAUAUUUGGGGUUUUAGGUGGAAUAUUCCUUUUAACCAGCCCCUCAGGUCUCUUUGAGGAUUUUGGAUGGAAUACUCGGUUAAACCAACAUUUUAGGUGCAUGUCCAAGAAUUUUUGGUGGAAUGUUCCUUUAAGGUGGAUGUGUGAGGACCUUGUAGGUGGAAUACUUCCUGAAGCCAACCUUUUAGGUCAACAUUCAAAGAUUUAAGGUGGAAUAUUCCUUUAAAUCGACCUAAAUGUCAUGUUUUGAUCAUUAUCAAGUGAGAAACCUCAAUCCAGACUCCUCAUAAUGACGUUUGAGAUUUAUGCUGCUGUUAUUUGUUUAGUCCAGACUAAAUGACAGAAAUCCACAACGGUAAUUUUAUUUCAGGACUCUGUUAUUAAAUGUCAAAGCAAUCCAUGUGACUGUAAAAACUCAGCAGCUUUACAAACUCUAAGAUUAAACUCUCCACAAGGAUCCAAAAUAAGUUGGACUUCUACAUGAGAGCUUUAAUUAUUCUUCAUCUACUUCCUGAAAAGUUUGGUCAAUAAAAAAGACAAAAACUAAUAUUUUCAGCUGAACUAAAGACAGACUUUGUGAUUUUUCUGCUCACAUGUGUUGUUGUAAACUUACUCUUGCAAAUAAAUAGCCGCCUAACCCCCUGGAAACCAGCGUUUGUCCUGUUUUUGUGUUGCGACUCUAGACAGCCGGGUCGUAAUGUUUUUUGAGCAACACACCAUACUAUGAUGUUUUUACAAUGAUGGUUCUACUAUGAAACCAGUUUGACAUAUUCAGGCAUUCUUUGUGUGAAAACUCAGAGAUUUCAGGGAUCAGAAGGUGGUUUUCAACUUUCUUUGUUAACUUUCUGCUUCAACUUUAAACUAAAUUUCCUUGACUAACCCCGCCCUCUGGACUUCCAGUAAGCUGUGUUCCUAUUGGCUGUCCAGGUGGCUGCUUGGUAUUAUCAGGAACACCUGAGCAGCGCCGUGUCUUCCUGCUUUAUUUAGCUGCAGGCAAACAUUUCCUCUGCUUCUCUUCACUGAAUUGAGUUUGGCUCCGUUGCUUUAGUUUGUUCUUUAGGCGUUGGCUUGCAGCUUCCAGCUUCCAGCAGUAAAAUCGUCUUUAAUGUGUUUCUUGGUGUGUUUGAGGGCUUUGUACUGGAUAGUUGUCUUGGUAAAUGUGGUUCUUUACCCACAUGGUGCUAAUGUGUGCAGUGAUUAGUGGAUUUGGUGCAGCUGAGUUGUGUCUUUAUCUUGGCUGUAGUGAGUCUUUAGAGGUUUUUGGUCAGACACAUUCUGUAUUCUUGUUUGAGAACCAACGUUGGUUGUCCAGAAGGUAAGAGUUCUUGUCCUGAUUCUCUGUUCUCAGAGGUUCUCUGGUAGGCUGCAGGAGACUUGAGCGUUGUGGUUGUGCUAGUUUGGUUUUUGUAUGGUUUCAUUUGGACGACUAUCUUGAGGCCCCUCGAUGUGGGUUAGUGAGGUUUUCUGGAACAGUUCUACAAAGCAACCUGCAGCAGAAGAGACUUUGAGAGAUUUUAGGAAGUUCUGGAGACCAGACUUUAGAGCAACAGAAACAUUUGUCAGCAGUUUGAGCAGGAGAAGGUGAGCUUCAGAGUAGAAAUGAGACGGAAACCUUCUUGACCCGUGUGGUGAGGUCCUGUACAAAGAGUUUGAGCAGGUUGUGAAGAGUCUGUCGUUCUUUGGUCUGAAAGCACAAGAAGAGUCGACUCAUUAAAGGAGAAAACAGGAGAUAUUGUUGGUUCUUCUGUCACUCUGCAGUUUCCAGUUUCCUUAGACUGAAUAUCAAG